rnacentral:rRNA from 1 species
AAACUUUCAACAACGGAUCUCUUGGUUCUGGCAUCGAUGAAGAACGCAGCGAAAUGCGAUAAGUAGUGUGAAUUGCA